UAAUUAUUCUGUAAUGUGCAUCCCUAGUUCCGUGCCCUGCUAUGUUUACUGUUUAAUUGACCUGGCCUAGCUAAAACGAAUGAAGAAAAACAUCACCGUACGGGUCUUACCAAUAUUUUACUAAGCAUGAAAGACGCAGCUGCUGGAGAUAACAUUCUCAAAGUACUCGGUUUUUCCAGUAGCUUUUAUGGCACUUUGCAAAAAUUUAUUGGCUAUAUCAAUUUUGUUUAGUGCUGGUAUUUGUGAGGCAUUCUGUUACCGAAGAUAUUUUGAUCAGUGGAACUAAAAAGAAGCUAAGGGUGGGAGCUAGGCCAUCAGAAAACCUUCCCAAAAUUACCAACUCAGCGUCAGCCAUUAGUAGGCCAGUGAGACACAGCAAUCUCAGUCAGCUUAUCAAAUCAUUUGAUCUUUUGUCUGUGUGAUACCGUGAUUUAACAUUUAUUAUAUUGGCCUAUAUUUUAAGACAAAUUCUAAAAAAAUUAGGCUUGCUUAAUAAAUUUAUUAAAAGAAAUAACAAUGAUUCCUAUGAUGCAGAGAAAUGGAUUUACUGUAAACAUUUAAAUACACUGGUUGUUGUUGAGUCAAAGGAGGAACGAAUUCUGGAAUUCCUUUACGGUUCAAAGCCAGGUGGGUCUCGUCUGAUGACAUUUGUAGUGUUUUGGUUUAAUGCUAACGCCAUUAAGUGAUUGUAAAUUAACACUUAUCGCCUCGUGUAUGGAAUUAUGACAAUAGAUUAUUCUAAAAAUACUGUAACCGGAUAAGUGUGUAACUUCAUCAUAAUAAACCAUUUGAAUCUGUAUUCAUCGGCUGUGAUCGAUACUAAGCGUAAUAGAAUACUAGCGACGAGAAUGGCCGAAGGCAAUACAGAAACGCCAAGAGGUUUAUCAAACUUUGACGUGCAUGCACGUACAUCAAAUUUAGCCGAAUUGUGGGUGGAAUGAAGAAGUGAGUUCGAAGUCUACAUAGUAGCAACAAAUAUUACGGGAGAUGAACGGAAGAAAGCUAUGCUGCUUUAUACAGCUGGUAAAAAUGUUCAGAAACUCGUAAGGGCGCUGACUGAUGAUAGAAAUGCCGACGCCGCGAAUUGAUGUUAUAAAUUUGCUGAAUACACACUUCGGAA